GGGCAGUGAUGAUCACCUGAGGAAGUCAUGCACCACUCUGAUGAUUUGAUUUCAAUCAAUCUGUGCUGAUAAAUUUCUCAUACCCAAUUCUGCUGAGCCC